rnacentral:rRNA from 1 species
CCAUUAGAUGUUCUGGGCUGCACGCGUGUUACAAUCGGGAGUACAACAAGAUUGCAAAUCCUAGUGGAUGAGUGGUUCUUCGAAAUUUUCUGAAGACUGGGAUAGUUGAUUGAAAUUAUUCAACUCAAACGAGGAAUUCCUUGUAAUUGUAAUUCAUUAUAUUGUAAUGAAUACGUCCCUGCCCUUUGUACACACCGCCCGUCGCUCCUACCGAUUGAACGAUCCGGUGAAUUAUUUGGAGUAGCUCUGGAAGUUGCAGAACUUCCUAUGUCACGAAAUUUUGUAAACCUUAUCGUUUAGAGGAAGGAAAAGUCGUAACA